UACGUAGGGUGCAAGCGUUGUCCGGAAUUAUUGGGCGUAAAGAGCGUGUAGGCGGUCCGGUCAGUCGGUUGUGAAAGUCAAGGGCUCAACCCUUGAAUGCCGGCCGAUACUGCCGGGCUAGAGUCCGGAAGAGGUGAGUGGAAUUCCUGGUGUAGCGGUGAAAUGCGCAGAUAUCAGGAGGAACACCGAUGGCGAAGGCAGCUCACUGGGACGGUACUGACGCUGAGACGCGAAAGCGUGGGGAGCAAACAGG
rnacentral:rRNA from 1 species